rnacentral:sRNA from 1 species
AUGUACCCACGUACACUCCGCCUCCGCGCCGUCCGCACCCACCUGACGACUGCUCGCUACGCUUUGUUAGCC